AAGCUUGCUUUUGAAGAUGACGAGCGGCGGACGGGUGAGUAAUGCCUGGGAAUUUGCCCAUUUGUGGGGGAUAACAGUUGGAAACGACUGCUAAUACCGCAUACGCCCUACGGGGGAAAGCAGGGGAACUUCGGUCCUUGCGCUGAUGGAUAAGCCCAGGUGGGAUUAGCUAGUAGGUGAGGUAAUGGCUCACCUAGGCAACGAUCCCUAGCUGGUCUGAGAGGAUGAUCAGCCACACUGGGACUGAGACACGGCCCAGACUCCUACGGGAGGCAGCAGUGGGGAAUAUUGCACAAUGGGGGAAACCCUGAUGCAGCCAUGCCGCGUGUGUGAAGAAGGCCUUCGGGUUGUAAAGCACUUUCAGCGAGGAGGAAAGGGUGUAAGUUAAUACCUUACAUCUGUGACGUUACUCGCAGAAGAAGCACCGGCUAACUCCGUGCCAGCAGCCGCGGUAAUACGGAGGGUGCGAGCGUUAAUCGGAAUUACUGGGGCGUAAAGCGUGCGC
rnacentral:rRNA from 1 species